AUUGAACGCUGGCGGCAUGCCUUACACAUGCAAGUCGAACGGCAGCACGGGAGCAAUCCUGGUGGCGAGUGGCGAACGGGUGAGUAAAGUAUCGGAACGUGCCCAGUCGUGGGGGAUAACGUAGCGAAAGUUACGCUAAUACCGCAUACGAUCUAUGGAUGAAAGCGGGGGAUCGCAAGACCUCGCGCGAUUGGAGCGGCCGAUAUCAGAUUAGGUAGUUGGUGGGGUAAAGGCUAACCAAGCCGACGAUCGUUAGCUGGUCUGAGAGGACGACCAGCCACACUGGGACUGAGACACGGCCCAGACUCCUACGGGAGGCAGCAGUGGGGAAUUUUGGACAAUGGGCGAAAGCCUGAUCCAGCCAUGCCACGUGCAGGAUGAAGGCCUUCGGGUUGUAAACUGCUUUUGUACGGAACGAAAAGGUUUGGCCUAAUAAGCUGAGCUCAUGACGGUACCGUAAGAAUAAGCACCGGCUAACUACGUGCCAGCCGCCGCAGUAA
rnacentral:rRNA from 1 species